UACGGGGGGUCCUAGCGUUGUUCGGAAUCAUUGGGCGUAAAGCGGGCGUAGGUGGCUAUGUAAGUCAGGAGUGAAAGCCCUGGGCUCAACCCAGGAAGUGCUUUUGAAACUGCGUAGCUUGAGUGUGGAAGAGGAUAGUGGAAUUCCUGGUGUAGUGGUGAAAUACGUAGAUAUCAGGAGGAACACCGGCGGCGAAGGCGGCUAUCUGGUCCAACACUGACACUGAGGCCCGAAAGCGUGGGGAUCAAACAGG
rnacentral:rRNA from 1 species